rnacentral:lncRNA from 10 species
UGGUAGAUUAAAGAUACCACAAAUUCUUUGUGAAUCUUUCCAUGGAGGAAUGCUCAGUGUCAUGGUACAUUCUGCAGGAGUUGAGCCUACUUGUGAGAAGUACAGCUACAUCAAGAUAAGGUGCUGCUAUAACAAAUACCGAAAAAUAUGGAAGUGGCAUUGUAACAGGUUCUGGUUGCUGGCAAUCCUUCGUUUUCUUUGGCUUGCAACUGCAACUCUUCAUCUCUGCCUUGGUUGUCACAUGGCCUUCUCCAUUCUGUGUCUGUCUGUGUCUGUGUGUCCUCUACCCUUCUCCUAAAAACAACAGUUAUAUUGACUUUAGGGUAUGCCCUAAUUCCAUGUAACCUCAU